rnacentral:tRNA from 31 species
GCCCGCUUAGCUCAGAGGUUAGAGCA